rnacentral:rRNA from 1 species
AGAGUUUGAUCCUGGCUCAGGAUGAACGCUAGCUACAGGCUUAACACAUGCAAGUCGAGGGGCAUCAGGGUGUAGCAAUACACCGCUGGCGACCGGCGCACGGGUGAGUAACACGUAUCCAACCUGCCCUUUACUCGGGGAUAGCCUUUCGAAAGAAAGAUUAAUACCCGAUGGUAUAACAUGACCUCCUGGUUUUGUUAUUAAAGAAUUUCGGUAGAGGAUGGGGAUGCGUUCCAUUAGGCAGUUGGCGGGGUAACGGCCCACCAAAUCUUCGAUGGAUAGGGGUUCUGAGAGGAAGGUCCCCCACAUUGGAACUGAGACACGGUCCAAACUCCUACGAGAGGCAGCA